rnacentral:lncRNA from 1 species
AAAAAGGUAGUUGUAAUCCCUAUUUUGUUUUCCAGAGAGUUUAUCCUUGAUAUGUUCACCUUAACCGGUGACGGAUAUUUCUCUUUGAUGGUAUUCUAUCCAGUAACUGAUAGAUGUAAUCCCUAUUCUUCCCCUCGGAGUCUAUCCUUGAUAUGUUCAUCUUAACCGGUGAUAGAUAUUUCUCUUUGAUGGUAUUCUAUCCAACAUUCGAUAGAUAUAAUUCCUACUUUUUGUUCAAGUGGUUUAUCCUUGAUAUGUUCAUC